UACAGAGGGGGCAAGCGUUGUUCGGAAUCACUGGGCUUAAAGGGCGCGUAGGCGGGCAUCAAAGUCUGUGGUGAAAUCCGGCAGCUCAACUGUCGAAUUGCCGUGGAUACUGGGUGUCUCGAGGGAGGCAGGGGUGCGCGGAACUAAUGGUGGAGCGGUGAAAUGCGUUGAUAUCAUUAGGAACUCCGGUGGCGAAGGCGGCGCACUGGUCCUCUUCUGACGCUGAGGCGCGAAAGCCAGGGGAGCAAACGGG
rnacentral:rRNA from 1 species